rnacentral:rRNA from 1 species
GUGAGGAAUUUUCCGCAAUGGGCGAAAGCCUGACGGAGCAAUGCCGCGUGAAGGAUGAAGGCCUAUGGGUUGUAAACUUCUUUUCUCAGAAAAGAAUUAUGACGGUAUCUGAGGAAUAAGCAUCGGCUAACUCUGUGCCAGCAGCCGCGGUAAGACAGAGGAUGCAAGCGUUAUCCGGAAUGAUUGGGCGUAAAGCGUCUGUAGGUUGUUUAAAAAGUAUUCUGUCAAAGAUUAGGGCUUAACCCUAGAUAGGCAGAACAAACUUUUAAGCUAGAGUUUGGUAGAGGCAGAGGGAAUUCCCGGUGGAGCGGUGAAAUGCGUAGAUAUCGGGAGGAACACCAAAGGCGAAGGCACUCUGCUGGGCCAAUACUAACACUGAGAGACGAAAGCGAGGGGAGCAAAUGGGAUUAGAUACCCUAGUAGUCC